GGUCUGUUCGUCUAGUGGCUUAGGACAUUACCCUCUCAAGGUAAAGACAGUUUAAGGUUCGAAUCCUCUACAGACUA
rnacentral:tRNA from 1 species